GACGAACGCUGGCGGCGUGCUUAACACAUGCAAGUCGAACGGAAAGGCCCUGCUUUUGUGGGGUGCUCGAGUGGCGAACGGGUGAGUAACACGUGAGUAACCUGCCCUUGACUUUGGGAUAACUUCAGGAAACUGGGGCUAAUACCGGAUAGGAGCUCCUGCUGCAUGGUGGGGGGUUGGAAAGUUUCGGCGGUUGGGGAUGGACUCGCGGCUUAUCAGCUUGUUGGUGGGGUAGUGGCUUACCAAGGCUUUGACGGGUAGCCGGCCUGAGAGGGUGACCGGCCACAUUGGGACUGAGAUACGGCCCAGACUCCUACGGGAGGCAGCAGUGGGGAAUAUUGCACAAUGGGCGGAAGCCUGAUGCAGCAACGCCGCGUGCGGGAUGACGGCCUUCGGGUUGUAAACCGCUUUCGCCUGUGACGAAGCGUGAGUGACGGUAAUGGGGAAAGAAGCACCGGCUAACUACGU
rnacentral:rRNA from 1 species